UACGUAGGGUGCGAGCGUUAAUCGGAAUUACUGGGCGUAAAGCGUGCGCAGGCGGUUCGCCAAGUCAGGUGUGAAAUCCCCGGGCUCAACCUGGGAACUGCAUUUGUGACUGCAUCGCUGGAGUGCGGCAGAGGGGGAUGGAAUUCCGCGUGUAGCAGUGAAAUGCGUAGAUAUGCGGAGGAACACCGAUGGCGAAGGCAAUCCCCUGGGCCUGCACUGACGCUCAUGCACGAAAGCGUGGGGAGCAAAAGGG
rnacentral:rRNA from 1 species